rnacentral:lncRNA from 1 species
UUAGACCAUAUUUGGUCUAUACGGUGACAUGCCUAAUCUUUGAGGAUAUGGCAGACAUUUGGCCUUGUGAUGUGGACAACUCAAGACACGUGCCCUUUGCAGCAGUAAUGUCAUCGGCAGACGACCGACCACAUAAAGUCGGUACUUAGACGAUGUCAGAGUCAUCAGCUUUUGGCCGAUCAGACCUCAUCGCCGCCCCAGAUCUCUAUAAGCUAUAUUGUAAUUCUUACAAACUAGUCUAC